GAUUAGGUAGGAAUACCCGCUGAACUUAAGCAUAUCAAUAAGCGGAGGAAAAGAAACCAACAGGGAUUGCCCUAGUAACGGCGAGUGAAGCGGCAACAGCUCAAAUUUGAAAUCUGGCCCUAGCGGUCCGAGUUGUAAUUUGUAGAGGAUGCUUUUGGUUAGGUGCCUUCUGAGUUCCCUGGAACGGGACGCCAGAGAGGGUGAGAGCCCCGUACGGUUGGACACCGAGCCUCUAUAUAGCUCCUUCGACGAGUCGAGUAGUUUGGGAAUGCUGCUCUAAAUGGGAGGUAAAUUUCUUCUAAAGCUAAAUACCGGCCAGAGACCGAUAGCGCACAAGUAGAGUGAUCGAAAGAUGAAAAGUACUUUGAAAAGAGGGUUAAAUAGCACGUGAAAUUGUUGAAAGGGAAGCGUUUGCGACCAGACUUUUUCCAGGCGGAUCAUCCGGUGUUCUCACCGGUGCACUUCGCCUGGUUUAGGCCAGCAUCGGUUCUCUUAGGGGGAUAAAGGCCUGGGGAACGUAGCUCCUUCGGGAGUGUUAUAGCCCCUAGCGUAAUACCCUUCGGGGGACCGAGGAACGC
rnacentral:rRNA from 1 species